UACAGAGGGUGCAAGCGUUAAUCGGAAUUACUGGGCGUAAAGCGCGCGUAGUCGGUUAUUUAAGUCGGAUGUGAAAUCCCCGGGCUCAACCUGGGAAUUGCAUUCGAUACUGGAUAGCUAGAGUUCGGCAGAGGGAAGCGGAAUUUCUGGUGUAGCGGUGAAAUGCGUAGAUAUCAGAAGGAACAUCAGUGGCGAAAGCGGCUUCCUGGACCAGAACUGGCGAUCAGGCUCGAAAGCGUGGGGAGCAAACAGG
rnacentral:rRNA from 1 species